rnacentral:rRNA from 1 species
GACGAACGCUGGCGGCGUGCCUAACACAUGCAAGUCGAGCGGAGAUAAGCGGAUGGUAACUGAAGUUUGUCUUAGCGGCGGACGGGUGAGUAACACGUGGGCAACCUGCCUUGGAGUGGGGGAUAACACCGGGAAAUCGGUGCUAAUACCGCAUAACAUACACAUACUGCAUGGUGAGUGUAUCAAAGGAGCAAUCCGCUUUAAGAUGGGCCCGCGGCUGAUUAGCUAGUUGGUAAGGUAACGGCUUACCAAGGCGACGAUCAGUAGCCGACCUGAGAGGGUGACCGGCCACACUGGAACUGAGACACGGUCCAGACUCCUACGGGAGGCAGCAGUGGGGAAUAUUGCGCAAUGGGGGAAACCCUGACGCAGCAACGCCGCGUGGAGGAAGAAGGUCUUCGGAUUGUAAACUCCUGUCUUCUGGGACGAAGUAUGACGGUACCAGAGGAGGAAGCCACGGCUAACUACGUG